AUAGCAAAGUUUCUGGCACAAAUCUGGCUUACAUUGGGCAUUUAUGGCUAAAUUUAGGCUCUCUUUUGUUCACACCUUUGUGUGAAACAGCUUUCGGGGGAGUUGUGGGGUGAGGCUAGCCAGCCAAAAGCAAAAGGUACAUUUUUGGCUGAGUCCUGGCUUAAGUGUGGUCUGCCAGAAAAUAGUAAAUAUAUGGCAGAGUUCUGGCUAAGGUUUGGUUGGCCAAAGAGUAAAAAAACACCAAAUAAAAUCAUAUUUACAAUUGAUAAAAACAUCAAAUUUAAUAUUUAAGGCAAUAAUAAAUAUGUUUAUCCUUAUUAAAAGACGAAAUGUAGAAAAUGUUAUUUUGGGCAGUUAAUCCAAAGUUGUCAAUGUGCAAUUUACAAACAAUGCAAUAAACAGAUAAAUUAAUAAUUCAGUCUGCACUAAUAUACAUCAAACAAAAGUAUUUUAAGUAUGUGUGCUUGUUUAAGUCUUUUUAGUUUUGUAUUUUAUUUUUUAUAAAUAAAUAAGACUUUACAUUAAAUUGUGUUUACAAUUAAAAAAUACGACUAACUAAUACUAAUAUUUAUUGGUGCACUUUCGUUUCUAAAACAAUGACAUAUAUUGCAAUGCACCUUGGAAAUAGUAGUCAUUUAACCUCAGCAGCGUUCAAUCCGCCGUGGAAAAUGGACUACCUUUCCCAUAAUGCAACUGGUCAUGAUCAGGAACUUCCGCGAAAUUCAAACCCCCACUGUGUACUGGAUGAAGGACACGCGAUCGUUUGUCUUGUGGAGUUUUAUAUAACACAGUAAGAUGUCAUGUACCACACUUUGUCAACAAUAAAUGUUGUUUCUGCAAUCUGGAUAAAGAAUAAUGUGAGUAAAGAAUAAUAAUGAGGUUAAUAAACCUAACCGUUUAAAUAAUAAACAAAUGUGUAUGUGUUAAGAUGUUUGACUCCUCUAUUUAAUAUAUAUUACUGCCUCUUGGAGAACAGCCGGCCGUACUCCAGACAGAGACAAAGACGUGAGGACAUCUAUUGCUUUUGUAAAGGAAUUUUAUACCCAAGAGUUAUAAAUGUUGUCUUUAUUGUUUGUCUUAAUCUUUUAUUUGACAUUUUAACAAUAUAAAGUUUACUUAUACUUGUUUUUAUAUUUGUUUUUUGUUUGUAGAAGUCAUGUAUCACACUUUGUCAACAAUGCAUGUUGUUCUUGCAAUCUGGAUGAAGAAUAAUAUAUUACUGCCUCUUGGGAAAACAGCAGACUGUACUCCAGACAGAGACAAAGACAUGAGGACAUCCAUUGCUUUUAAGUCCUAUACCAGACUAUGUUGUUCCAGCUGUCUGGGUAAAGACUGAUACAUUACUGCCUCUUGGAGAACAGCAAACCAUUCUCCAGACAGAGACAAAGACAUGGACAUCAAAACAGAAAAUUAAGUACUUGAUCUUAGAUUGUUUGGAGUGAACGCUGGAAAAUAAUGAAGCAGGAAAUUAAAAUGCUUGACUAAAACAAUUUUUAGAAAUCCUUCUGGAACUCUGAAAUCUGCAAACAUAUUUUUUCCCAUGUCUUGAAUUGAAUGUUAAAAGUAUCAGUUCUUGGACUGGCAGUGUGUACUAUAUCAUUUUUUCCUUACUCUUAUUCAUUUUAUGUAAAUGUAUUUUCUAACUGUAUUUUAUGAUUUUUUCUGUAGGCUGUAAGAAGUCCUUUGUGUGCACAGACAUGACUGGAGAUUAAAGUUACUAAAUGUUGCUUUUUUUCUAGCUGGUGUCAUAACAUGGUAUUAUUUUCAAAUGUAUUUAUCUAAUUCACAUUUGCACAUCUGUAAACAUUCAUUUUAUAUAGGAUGUUUUUUAUAUUUAACCAGUUGUUGUAUAUUGCUUUCUGUUAUUACAUCUGUUUUUUUUUGCCUGUUUAUUGUUUAAAACAAUUAAGUUAAGUAAUUAACAAUUAAGUUAAUGUUUCUCUGUUAGCUUUUACUUUGGCUAUUUCUUUGUUUUUAUUUGAUCCUUCUACUGUUAUUUGUUUAUUUGGCUAUUUGGCAGAACAUUUGACAUUUCAUUUAUUUUGCUGUUAUCUGAAAUUAUCCUUGUCACCAUCAAUAAAACUCUCUAUAUUUGCUUUA